AUUGAACGCUGGCGGCAGGCCUAACACAUGCAAGUCGAGCGGAUGAAGGGAGCUUGCUCCUGGAUUCAGCGGCGGACGGGUGAGUAAUGCCUAGGAAUCUGCCUGGUAGUGGGGAAUAACGUCCGGAAACGGGCGCUAAUACCGCAUACGUCCUGAGGGAGAAAGUGGGGGAUCUUCGGACCUCACGCUAUCAGAUGAGCCUAGGUCGGAUUAGCUAGUUGGUGGGGUAAAGGCCUACCAAGGCGACGAUCCGUAACUGGUCUGAGAGGAUGAUCAGUCACACUGGAACUGAGACACGGUCCAGACUCCUACAGGAAGCAGCAGUGGGGAAUAUUGGACAAUGGGCGAAAGCCUGAUCCAGCCAUGCCGCGUGUGUGAAGAAGGUCUUCGGAUUGUAAAGCACUUUAAGUUGGGAGGAAGGGCAGUAAGUUAAUACCUUGCUGUUUUGACGUUACCAACAGAAUAAGCACCGGCUAACUUCGUG
rnacentral:rRNA from 1 species